rnacentral:rRNA from 1 species
UACGAAGGGGGCUAGCGUUGCUCGGAAUCACUGGGCGUAAAGGGUGCGUAGGCGGGUCUUUAAGUCAGGGGUGAAAUCCUGGAGCUCAACUCCAGAACUGCCUUUGAUACUGGGAAUAUCGUAGUCCGGGAGAGGUGAGUGGAACUGCGAGUGUAGAGGUGAAAUUCGUAGAUAUUCGCAAGAACACCAGUGGCGAAGGCGGCUCACUGGCCGGUACUGACGCUGAGGUGACGAACGGGAUGGCAAACAGGGAUUAAG